rnacentral:rRNA from 1 species
GACGAACGCUGGCGGCGUGCCUAAUACAUGCAAGUAGGACGAGUUGCGCACGGGUGAGUAACGCGUGGUAACCUACCUAUUCGAGGGGGAUAACUAUUGGAAACGAUAGCUAAUACCGCAUACUAGUCGAUGGACCUGCGUUGUAUUCACUAGUAGGUAGGGUAAUGGCCUACCUAGGCAACGAUCCCUAGCUGGGCGGAGAGGAUGACCAGCCACACUGGAACUGAGACACGGUCCAGACUCCUACGGGAGGCAGCAUGGGGGAAUAUUGCACAAUGGGCGCAAGCCUGAUGCAGCCAUGCCGCGUGUAUGAAGAAGGCCUGCGGGUUGUAAAGUACUUUCAGCGAGGAGGCGUUACUCGCAGAAGAAGCACCGGCUAACUCCGUGCCAGCAGCCGCGGUAAUAC